rnacentral:rRNA from 1 species
CGGGGUGAGUAACGCGUGGGUAACCUGCCUUGUACUGGGGGACAACAGUUAGAAAUGACUGCUAAUACCGCAUAAGCGCACAGUAUCGCAUGAUACAGUGUGAAAAACUCCGGUGGCACAAGAUGGACCCGCGUCUGAUUAGCUAGUUGGUAAGGUAACGGCUUACCAAGGCGACGAUCAGUAGCCGACCUGAGAGGGUGACCGGCCACAUUGGGACUGAGACACGGCCCAA